rnacentral:misc_RNA from 1 species
GAUGAAGAACGCAGCGAAAUGCGAUAAGUAAUGUGAAUUGCAGAAUUCAGUGAACCAUCGAAUCUUUGAACGCACAUUGCGCCCUCUGGUAUUCCGGGGGGCAUGCCUGUUCGAGCGUCAUUAUAACCACUCAAGCUCUCGCUUGGUAUUGGAGUUCGCGAUCUCGCGGCUCCUAAAAUCAGUGGCGGUGCCUGUCGGCUCUACGCGUAGUAAUACUCCUCGCGAUUGAGUCCGGUAGGUUUACUUGCCAGCAACCCCCAAUUUUUACAGGUUGACCUCGGAUCAGGUAGGGAUACCCGCUGAACUUAAGCAUAUCAAUAAGCGGAGGA